AAUAUUGCACAAUGGAGGGAACUCUGAUGCAGCAACGCCGCGUGAGUGAAGAAGGUUUUCGGAUCGUAAAACUCUGUCAUUGGGGAAGAAUAAAUGACGGUACCCAAUGAGGAAGCCUCGGCUAACUACGUGCCAGCAGCCGCGGUAAUACGAAGGGGACGAGCGUUGUCCGGAAUUACUGGGCGUAAAGGGCGUGUAGGCUGUUUGGCAAGUCAGGUUUGAAAUCUUAAGGCUCAACCUUAAGACUGCGCCUGAAACUGACAGGCUUGAGGGCAGGAGAGGAGAGCGGAAUUCCCGGUGUAGCGGUGAAACGCGUAGAUAUUGUGAGGAACACCAGUGGCGAAGGCGGCUCUCUGGACUGUAACUGACGCUGAGGCGCGAAAGCGUGGGGAGCAAACA
rnacentral:rRNA from 1 species